rfam:Paenibacillus sp. MSt1 Contig_7, whole genome shotgun sequence.
AAAAUCCUGCGAUGUGCGUUUCGGUUUUACAGUUGUUUUGAACCAAUGACUGUUUCUUGGGAGACCUACAUUGAAUCGCGGCUGUCAUGCCCUCGAAAAGGGACUUCAAAACCGAUUCUGCGGACACCCACCUGCGAGAGCGGGUUUGAAACACGAAAUCGGACGGCAUAUGCGGGUUUUUU